UAUAACGUAAAUAUUCCCCUUUUUAAAAAAUUCUUCAUUGGAUUUCGAGUUAGUUAUACCGAAGUUUUCUUACUGAAACUCUUCAUUCACACGCUUUGUUCAAGAUUUUGUUUUCAGUGUUUGAGAUAGCAGAUAUUCCAGUCCAGAACAAACCGGGAAGCAAAAAUCGACUCUCUGAGGUAUUAUGUUGGGAUUAGAGCUAAACUAAACUAUUGGGAGCAUGCAACACUGGAAACACGGUUUAAUAAGCUGGUAUUAAAGGAGAAGACAUUUAGACGACAAUGAGGGGCUGAGGAAGAUGCAUACAGCAAAAAUUGUUGAACA